UAGAUCUGAAAUGGCAACACAUACAAAUCAUUAAAUUUAACAGCUGUUUGGGAACCUGGGCAAGGACUUUUGAGGAAGACUGGGAUAUGCUAACACUGAUGGGGACAGAGAUGAUAGCCAACAUUCAUAAAUAUACUUGGUGUUUUUAUGUUUAAGAGUAACACCAAGUUAGGCAUUCUCCAAAAUUUACCAUUGAGGAAAUGACCUCUGAGAGAUUGAGUGCACCUAACAGUGUACAGCAUAUAGAAGUUUCUAAUAAAAAUUUAUCAAAUGAAAGUGACUUGUCCAAUGUCACUCAACUGUUAAGUGUUAAAAGUUGGGACUGAACCCCAGGUCUCCUGAGAUUAAAGCUCAUGCCUUUAUCGAAAGCUGCAAUCCUACAAAGGAAAAACAAAACACAGUAUAUAUAAUUCUAGUAAUUUUCAGGGCAACAGCCCAACUUUGUCCUGUAAUUAAGGAGAAUUCCUGAGUGUCUCCAUCAAUACAAGAAAAUUUCAGGUCCACCUUAGUUGUAAUUGGGACUUUAAUUUCUGAAUAAAGAGUGAAAUUCUUAAGUCAAAAUAGAGGUUAAUCCAUACCUUUCAGGAGACUUUGAGUGGCUCCUGUGUCUGUGACUACGGUGAUGACCUGGGGAAGAAAAGGCUAUUGAAUGAGAUUCUACCCUCCUAUUCCUCCACUGUCAUUUCUCCCAAUUCCUUUCAUUGGCUUAAUAUUUUUUGGCCUAUGAUAGGGACACUGUUGGUAGCAGAGAACUGAACUCACUUCAUAUGUAUUCACAAGGCUUUAUGGCUAAAUUUCAAAAAUAUCACAUUGGGUAUUUACCACUAAUCUGUUAAGUCUUACUCCUAUAAUUUCAGAUGAAAAAACUGAAGCUCAUCCUCCUAUCAACAAAGCUGACAACCAAUAGCAAAAGGCCCAAAUGCUAUACCCGGAGACUUGGAGCGGGAUCUAUGCCGUCUGUCUCGGGACCUGCUGCGAUGACGUCUUGGACUCUUGCUCCGAUGCCUUUCUCGGCGAGGGGAGGGGCUGUGGAAAUAACUGGUCAGACUCCCACAUCUGUCCGACAGUAUAAACACAACAACAGCAUCCCCCUCCCCAAAUCCCUAUCCUUCAUCACAAGUCACUAAAGGCCUACCUCCUUCUUUUGGGAGACCGACUCCGCCUAUACGGAAAGAAAAAAGAGAAAGAAGAACCUUAGUAGGUGCACUGGAUAUUGUAAAUUGCAAAAAUUACCCCAAUUCUUCACCCAACUCUGUUAUCCAUGUCCUUUGUCAUGUAACUUUAAUACCCUCUGACUCCAAGUCUGGGAUUGGCCACGUGACUUGCUUUGGCCAAUGGGAUACUUGUACAUGUGAUGCAAGCAGAUACUGGAAAGAUACUUGCAUGGUUGGGCUUGUUUGCUCUUGUAUUCUGCCACUGCCAUGGGAACAGGCCUAACCUAGCCUAGAAUGUGACACACACAGAGAAGAGAUGAGCUGCUCCAGUCAUCCUAGCUAAGGCUGUCCUAUACUAGCCAAAAGACAACUGAUUGCACCAGAUGAGGGACCAUAGUUUAUACUCAAAAAACCUCCUAUCUAAGCCCAGCUUAAACCACUGACCACAGACCUGUGAACUAAAUAAAUGUCUGCCACUGAGGUUUUGUGAGUGGUUGUUUUGUAGCAACUAAUACAUUGACAAACAGACAUUAUCCAUAGGCUGGCAUUUUUCCUUCCAUGAAGUCCAAACUUCUACGCUACAGUGCUUAAAGUCUCCCUGGAAGAGGCCAAUGACUAGGGCCCUAACCUUCUGGGAGACCGACUCCUACUCCUCCGAUAGCGUAGUGUGGGAGAGCGCCGGGGCUUGUCCAAGUCUCGGUAGCUUCUCCGGCGGUGAUCAGGUGAUGGCACUCUUUCCAACUGGAAAAGAGUUAGAAUGGGUCAGUGAUGAGCACAGGCUUAUAGACAACCAUCUAGGAACACAGUUUACACUCUCCUCCCCAUUCCGUCCCAAAUUCCACCUCCAAGUGACUUUAAAACAGUAAUUUGAAUACAUGGAUAACCCUAAGGACAAAACAAGCAAAUAAAAUUUUUUUAAUGUUUCUAAUCCAUUAUUGUUUAGUGCUGGUACCAUUAUUCUGGGACUAUGUAAGAGUAGUGAGAGGUAAGUAAGUAUGCUUCUUAAGAAGAUGGGAUUUCCAACGUGAAAGAAAAGAGAUGCAGAUGUAAGAUCGAUAAGAUUAAUAAGUACAAACUCAUAGUGUACUUGAAGCUUAAAAAAAAUUUUCCCCUAGCUUUGUUAACUGUAAAGUCCUAGAAACACAGCUGUAGCAAUGAGCCCAGACUGUGGUCUCUAAAUAUCAUAUCCCAAUUAAUGCAACCAAGGGCUUCUUGGAAAACUGGCUAAUUCUAGGUCCAGGCUAGAAGGUAACAAGACAUGACUAGAACAUAUAUCAGAAAGCAAGGGGCUGAGACUACUAUGAUUGUAUCAAAAAGCCUCACAAGUCAAGUUGAGGGGCCCCCACUGGCCAAAGAUGGGACAAUUUGAGCAUCAACAAGGACAAUAAUGGUCCAAAACACACCAAAUAUGCUUAAAUCCAUGAACUCACAGUGUUACCAAGGGCAAGAGAGCUUUCCUCCUUGGGAGGAUACUAUCAAAUCAACUCAUUAUUUUAAAAACUGAUAAAGGGAAAUAAUUUAUCUUACCUUAUAUAAACUGUACCUAUGAAAAACUAAAUGUUGAUUUGGGAGGUUUCUCUUUAUAGCAGUGUUACAGGUAACAAAUGAUGAAGAAAUAAUUAGAAUAUCACCAUUUUACAACCCCUAAUGGAUCUAGGCAAAGAUCAUCAGUGGCUCCUAAUAUUACUUUGCUCAUCCUGGGGGCAGUACACACUAUUACCUAUGAAGUAGUGUUGCUCCACUCCAAAGGGGAUAAAAACCCUAAAUCCAAUUAAAGCCUCUAGACUCAAGUACUAGUUUACAGAAAAUACAAGGGACAAAUGAACACGAUGAGUGAUACCACAGGGACACAAUCACAAAAAUACAGAUUGUGAGAAUAUGUACAGAAUGUUAUGACCUGAUAUAUUUAAAAUCUGCAAGAGGAAAAAUUAACAAUGGAUGGAACUGACAGACUACAAGAUGAACCAGUUACAAUUUAUGGACCUUCUUUGAAUACUAGUUCAGACUGUUAAAAAUGUAGGAUAGCUGGGGAAAUGUGAACACUGAAUAUUUAAUGAGAUUAAGGCAUCAUUGUUCAUUUGGGGGGUGAUGAUGGUAUAUAGUUUUGCUUAAAAAAGGGGCCCUUGUCUUUUCUGAAAUAUUAUGAAAUAUAUGAUGGCUGUGAUCUGCUUCAAGGUAACUGGUGAGGGACAAUUGGGUAGAGAUGUGGAGGAAACGAAACAGCUGAGUUGAUCAUUGUUGAAGCUAGGUGAUGGGUAGAUGGAGACACUUUCUCUCCACUUUGGUAUAUGAUUAAAUUUUCCAUUAAAAAAAAAAAAGAAUGCCUACUUUUGGUCCU